GACAGAGGGUGCAACCGUUGUUCGGAAUUACUGGGCGUAAAGCGAGUGUAGGCGGUCUGAAAAGUCAGGUGUGAAAGCCCUGGGCUCAACCCAGGAAGUGCACUUGAAACUGCCAGGCUAGAGUAUCGGAGAGGUUGGUGGAAUUCUCGGUGUAGAGGUGAAAUUCGUAGAUAUCGAGAGGAACACCGGUGGCGAAGGCGGCCAACUGGACGAAUACUGACGCUGAGACUCGAGAGCGUGGGGAGCAAACAGG
rnacentral:rRNA from 1 species